ensembl:lncRNA
GUGCUCUGUGGUUCUGACCGUAGGGGGCGCUGUGGAACUGACCAUAGGUCACACACACACACACACGCACGCACGCACGCACGCACGCACGCACACACACACACACACACACACACACACACACACACACACACACACACACACACACACACACACGAUCAAAAGCGAAACCUAAAGCAUAUUAAGCUAAAGCAAAGCGAAAGUUUGACAGAGCAGUAUCAUGGCAGAGAGAUGUUAUGAAACUAUCGGAACGGCUCCACAAGGUGUGAAUGAUAUCAUCUCUAGCGGCGGAACCAUGAGAAAGUUUUACACUGUCAAUGGGGACACUGCUGUGACCAAUGAAUUUACAACCAAACUCAAGAAGGAAGGCAAGACUGAAGUGUCAAAGGAGAAACGUGAGUUCACCCUGGCCUUCUGUCGGAUCAGCACCAGGCCUGGCAUCGACAUCCAGGAGACUCAAGACAAAUGUCCAGAACCUGCAGAUGACCGCCUGCUCAAAUGUCCUCACAAUAAAAGAGGACUCAAACAGGUCCUGGAUGUGGUUGGACGACCGUCCUCGAAGGAGAAAAUCAGGAUGUGGAUCCGUCCCUUCUGUUGUUGCUAGUCAUGCAACAACCCUGAAUAACCGUCGUAACAAUGGAAUCACUAAUCUAUAUAAAUAUUUAAAAAAAUUCUGUAUCAUUGUAAUAAUUGUCCACUACAUAUAAGAAAAUAAUGAUAUCCAAUAAGUUAAACAAGCUCAUAUAUAUAUAUAUAUAUUAGAGCUGUCAGUUAAACGCGUUAUUAACGGCGUUAACGCAAACCAAUUUUAACGGCGUUAAAGAAUUAACGCGCGAUUAACGCAAUUGUUUUAUUAAAAAAAAAAAAAAAGUUUUUUUUUUUUUUCUUUGGCUCAAAACAUAGAAGCAGUAGCCUGACUGCUAUGUUCAAAUGACAUUUGUUCAAAGCAGUCGUUUAAUUGCACUAUAGGCUCUUUUUUUGUAUAUGCCAAUGUUGUUAUCAAUAAAAAAUCAUUUGCACAAGGCAAGCCGAUGCACUUCACCAUGUUGAUAAGAUAAUUAAAAUGAGAAGAAUUAUGGGACAAAAAAAUCAAGGGAUAUUUAGCAUAGCAAAAGAAUUUGCGAUUAAUCGCGAUUAAUCGUGAGUUAACUAUGACAUUAAUGCGAUUAAUCACGAUUAAAUAUUUUAAUCGCUUGACAGCUCUAAUAUAUAUAUUCAUAUGUGUGUGUUUGUGUGCAUGUGUUAUUUGUCAUAUAUCAUAACCGGGAUGCAUUUCGUGUUGCUCUGUAUUCCAAUGAUUAAAGCUGUUUAAAUGGAACUUGUUGUUAAUGGCUUGCUUUGUUUCCCUAGACUAGAGGCCUAACUGAGUAUUGUCUGACCAGCAACAUGUUUUAGUGUUGUAAACAAAGCUAAAUGCCACAGGAGUUGUGUUUUGGUGGUAC